ACUCGUUAGCGACGCGAGCGAUUCGCCUCCCGUGACAUCGCAAUAAGUCCAUUGGAACCGUAUCAUUUAGAGAAAGAAGAAGUUGUAACAAGGUUUCUGUAGGUGAACCUACGGAAGGAUCAUUG
rnacentral:rRNA from 1 species